rnacentral:rRNA from 1 species
CCCUUGGAUGUUCUGGGCCGCACGCGUGCUACACUGAGUGGAUCAGCGGGUCAGGUUGCGCGAAAGUGUUUCCUAAUCUUGAAAUCCGCUCGUGAUGGGGAUUGACGGUUGCAAUUUUCCGUCAUGAACGAGGAAUACCUUGUAAGCGCGGGUCAUCAUCCCGCGCUGAAUACGUCCCUGCCCUUUGUACACACCGCCCGUCGCUCCUACCGAUUGAGUGGUCCGGUGAGGCUUUGGGAUCUGAGCGGAAAGAGCGUUUCGCUGUUUCUGCUCGGAAAACUCAGUCGAACCUUAUCAUUUAGAGGAAGGAGAAGUCGUAACA